rnacentral:rRNA from 1 species
CUACACAUGCAAGUCGGGACGGGUAGCACAGAGGAGCUUGCUCCUUGGGUGACGAGUGGCGGACGGGUGAGUAAUGUCUGGGGAUCUGCCCGAUAGAGGGGGAUAACCACUGGAAACGGUGGCUAAUACCGCACACCCUCCCAAGACCAAACAGGGAGACCCU